UACGUAGGUGGCAAGCGUUGUCCGGAUUUACUGGGCGUAAAGAGCGCGCAGGCGGUCGUUCAAGUCGCGUGUGAAAGCCCCCGGCUCAACUGGGGAGGGUCACGCGAUACUGAUCGACUCGAAGGCAGGAGAGGGUAGUGGAAUUCCCGGUGUAGUGGUGAAAUGCGUAGAUAUCAGGAGGAACACCAGCGGCGAAGGCGGCGCUCUGGGCUGGCACUGACACUGAGGAGCGAAAGCGUGGGGAGCGAGCAGG
rnacentral:rRNA from 1 species